rnacentral:rRNA from 1 species
GAAGGAUCAUUACCGAGUUUUCGGGCUUCGGCUCGACUCUCCCACCCUUUGUGAACGUACCUCUGUUGCUUUGGCGGCUCCGGCCGCCAAAGGACCUCCAAACUCCAGUCAGUAAACGCAGACGUCUGAUAAACAAGUUAAUAAACUAAAACUUUCAACAACGGAUCUCUUGGUUCUGGCAUCGAUGAAGAACGCAGCGAAAUGCGAUAAGUAAUGUGAAUUGCAGAAUUCAGUGAAUCAUCGAAUCUUUGAACGCACAUUGCGCCCCUUGGUAUUCCGGGGGGCAUGCCUGUUCGAGCGUCAUUACAACCCUCAAGCUCUGCUUGGAAUUGGGCACCGUCCUCACUGCGGACGCGCCUCAAAGACCUCGGCGGUGGCUGUUCAGCCCUCAAGCGUAGUAGAAUACACCUCGCUUUGGAGUGGUUGGCGUCGCCCGCCGGACGAACCUUCUGAACUUUUCUCAAGGUUGACCUCGGAUCAGGUAGGGAUACCCGCUGAACUUAAGCAUA